GACCUUCGGGAGCCUAUACAGGUGUUGCAUGGCUGUCGUCAGCUCGUGUCGUGAGAUGUCGGUUAAGUCCGCUAACGAGCGCAACCCUCGUCGUAUGUUAUAUGUGUCAUACGAGACUGCCGGUAAAAAGCCGGAGGAAGGUGAGGAUGAUGUCAAGUCAGCAUGACCUUUAUAUCCAGGGCUACACACACGCUACAAUGGUCUGUACAAUGGGUAGCCAAGCCGCGAGGCGGAGCCAAUCCUGAAAGCAGGCCUCAGUUCAGAUUGCAGUCUGCAACUCGACUGCAUGAAGCCGGAGUUGCUAGUAACCGCAGGUCAGCAAUACUGCGGUGAAUACGUUCCCGGGUCUU
rnacentral:rRNA from 1 species